GAGUGUCACGGCUUGGUGGAGUGUCAC
rnacentral:sRNA from 1 species